AUUUCAUGUUUUACUUACAACCUGUACAGAAUUGAACUGACAUCAGUUGCUUUCCAUACUUUAAAAUUAAUUAUGCACAGUCCCAUGGGUUUCUGUUUAUCCACUUUGCCAGGAAAUACACGAGUUCUGGGCUUGGCAUUGGAAGUAUUUAGUAAUUUUGGUUUGUUCUUUAGGUCCCCUUCACAUCUGGAAAGUGAGUAAUUAGAGAAGGUAUCUGGAAUAAGUGUGAUUCCAUUGCAGCUGGCAGAGCUUUAUAAAUUCCUUUUGCAACAAAGAGGAGGAUCUUACACCAACAGGGCUGUGCCUUCAGAUUUCUGCUAGUGACCUUUUUAGCAUGUUGCCUUGUAGUUGCCGUAUUUACCUUCUUGAGAUGAAGGGGGGGAAGUGGAGGACAGAGAUGCAUGGCUUUACCUUUUUUCAGUUGCCUACCUUUAGAAGUCCUCAGAUACUCCACCUCUGUAAAGGCUUAGCUUAAUUUUACCUAGACACAUGAGCUACACUUGCAAGAACACUGAAUAUAGACUGUAAGACGUACGAAAAGUAGUUGUCUAUGCAACCCCAAAUCUGACGGUAGGAUACCAACGUCCAAAUUUUAAAUAUGAGUAGUCUUCUGUGGGGAAGAUGUGUGUUUCAAAAAGUUAUACACUUGGUCUCCUUUUUGAGAUUUUUUUUUUCCUUUCCCAGAAAAAAUGGUUGUGGUGACCAGUUGUAAACUAUUUUCUCCCUCAAUUGUAAACCACCCGGUUAGAGAAAUAAAAGUGGACUUCCUUUCUUAAGUAUUAUAUACAGCCUGGCCAAGAGAUGCUAUGAUUGUGUUAUUCUUUAAGCCACCUUGGUUUUUUGACUUGUGCAAAAUAUCUUUUGAAUGAAUAAAUUAGUAUAGUAUUCAUUUUCCUUUGUGUAUAGUCUUCAGCUCAAUUGCAAAAUUGCAAAAUAAUGUGGCAUUUUCCUAUGAGCAAAUUUCCUUUAUGGACAUAUAGAGAGAGAGAUUUUUUUCUUUCUUUUUGAAAGAGAUUCCUUCUCUGUCACCACUUCAGACUCCAUGUAAAGUUGAACCUGCAGCCUCAGAAGGAGUAUAGGAUAGCUAAGACAAGGACCUCCUUUUCUUGUCUUGGUAACAGACAUUAUCCCAUCUUUCCAAAAUGGCUUAUUUAUGUUAUAAGCAGAUUGAGAAAGAAGCUACAAUUUUUUUAAGUCCACUCUUUUACUUCCUUUAUAAAUUAGUAUUCAUUGGGGGUACCUGGGUGGCUCAGUCGAUUGAGCGUCCGACUUUGGCUCGGGUCAUAAUCUCACGGCUCAUGAGUUCGAGCCCCAUGUCAGGCUCUGUGCCGACAGCUCAGAGCCUGGAGCCUGCUUCAGAUUCUGUGUGUCCCUCUCUCUAUCCCUCCCCUGCUCGCACGCUUUCUCUCUCUCUCAAAAAUAAACAUUAAAAAAAAAAAAUUCGUAUUCAGUGGCCAAAAAUUAAGAUCCCUUCAGAUUAGAGAAAGAUCCUCAAAACUAAAGUUGGACUGGCAAUUAAAUUGGGAAGGAAGAUACAGCUCCAUCCGGAUAUGCACAAUGGAUUUUGUCUUCCCAGGUUGCUUAUUAAUGCUGUGGGCAGCCCCUUCUCUUUGUUAGAACAUCUCCUAGACUGGAAACAUGAUGUUACAGCAACCAGCUCACCGGAAAGUUGGAGAGUAUUAAAUUUCUUUUAUGGAACUUUUAAAAACAUUUAUUGAUUUUUGUGAUAUAAAAAAUAUGUUUAUCGUUGAAAUUUAGGAAAUUACUAAAUGUAAAGAAGGAAAACCACUAUUAACUGAUGAGACUUAAUUCAUUUUGUUUUUCCUGACUUUCUUCUGUUACCCCACGUGGGAAAGCCCAGAAAAAGUUAAAAAAAAAAAAAAAAAAAAAAAAAGGAUACAGCCAUUCUCAUUAUGUUUUACCAUAUGUGUGGAGGACUGAGGUGUGAGCCUAUGUCCCUACCUUACUGAGAUUCCCUCAAGCCGUGCCCUUUUCCAGGCGGACAGUCUGAAAAUAAUUCUCUUGAUGUGUAUCUUUUAAGCCUGAACUAAGGAUGUCGAGUAGUACCCAGAAGCCUAUAGGGAGCUGCCUUGUUCAGUUUAUUGGAAACUUCAUCUCUAAAAUUCAUUUUGAUCUUUUAAGCCCCUUAUGCACCAUUAUGGACGUUUGAAGCAUAUUCAUACCCACAAAGAACUUUCUGUUUAGGUGGACUUUUUAAUAUGACCAUAAGUAAACCCACACUCAAAAAGAAUGAAGUACUUUCAAAGGCCAAAGGAAAAGCGGAGAAAAAACAAAGCAAAAGCAAAACAGAUGAAAUGAACCUAAAUGUGAAUUAGGAGUCCUGGAAACCAGAGUUCCCUUACCACACUUGGGCAAAUGUCUCCCCCUAAAAUGUAGUUCUCUGCUCCCCAGCUAGGAUUCAGAAAUUUUGUAUUUCGUAGGAGACUUUUCUUCUUAGUGUGUAAAGCAGAAAGCUGCAGCCCUUUCAAGGUUCUACUCUUUCCUUUACUCUUCCUCUUCUGUGGCAGCGUGGCUUAGGGCUGUAUCCUAAAGGACCUAAAUCUGAAACAAAUCAUGAGGGGGCUGUGGAGCAACAGCGUGAGCUGGUUGGAGCUCUCUUCUCUCAUCCUUGGCGUUCCAGGUUGUGAUAGAACCUGUGUUCUGCAAUCUUCCCCAGUCCCCUCAUGAUCCUCUUCGGUUUAUCUUAUUUUUGCCCAGUCUGUAUGGACUCUUAGGGGUUUUUUCUCUUCUUUUUUUAGUACAAGUAGUUUUCUGAUCCCAGGUUUGGUGAGUGUGUUAACACUGCUUUGUGAAUAAACGAGUGAUCUGCUGAACGGUUGCAACUGUAGAAUUCUGUUGUAUGUAAUGUACAUAUGGAGAAAGAAUGUAUUUUGUUCAUUUUCUUAAUAAAAAGUUAUAUAUGGACACUACAAAAUGGUUCUUGUGUUUGUUGAAACUACCUUUGAAGUCAACUUUUUAAAAUGUUUACAUACUUUUCAUAUGUUGUAUUUUUCCCUCAAAAAGCUGAGCUUUGUUCAGGCUUCCAAAGAUAAAGAUGAUACACACUAUAGAAGGGCCUUUUGGUGUUUUCCUUUGAGACAGUGCUGAAGUAAAGAAGUUCUGAUGGAUCUCACAAAGUUUCCUGGAGAAGUUUCCAUUUUGAAAGAAUACUGGUAAGUUAUUUCAUAAGAUGGUGUCUUUUAUGUCCCAUUGCUGACCAGCCCUGUUUGAUCUGUUUUGUAAAUUGGACUUGUGUUUCCCAGGUUUCCUUUAAGGGAGACAUACCUGUAUAGUUUAAGAACUAGAAGAAAAUUGUAGAAAAGACAGGGAAGAGAAAGAGUUGGAGCUGUUGCAAAGUUUUGAAAAAUUCUCGAUCCCUGUCCCUGAUAAAGGGGAAAGAACUUUAAGGACUGAACCUUUGAAAAAAUAAACCCGGAUAGGCCAAACAAAGAUAAUGAGUUCUGGGGGCGCCUGGGUGGCUCAGUCGGUUGAGCAUCCGACUGCAGCUCGGGUCACGAUCUCACGGUCCGUGAGUUCAAGCCCCAUGUCGGACUCUGUGCUGACAGCGCAGAGCCUAGAGCCUGCUUCCAAUUCUGUGUCUCCCUCUCUCUCUCUCUCUCUGCUCCUCCCCCACUCAUGCUCUGUCUCUGUCAAAAAUAAAUAAACAUUUUUUAAAAAUUAAAAAAAAUAGGGGCGCCUGGGUGGCUCGGUCGGUUAAGCUUCCGACUUCAGCUCAGGUCACGAUCUCGCGGUCUGUGAGUUCAAGCCCCGUGUCGGGCUCUGGGCUGAUGGCUCAGAGCCUGGAGCCUGCUUCCAAUUCUGUGUCCCUCUCUCUCUGUCCUUCCCCCGUUCAUACUCUGUCUCUGUCUCAAAAAUAAAUAAACGUUAAAAAAAAUUUUUUUUUAAAUAAUGAGUUCUCCAGAAGGAUUCAACAGGACCUCCUUUUGACCCUCUUCAUCUCCUGGUCUCAUUUACAUUCUCAGGUGUCUGAUCCUGCAUACAAGUAACAGUGCGUGUUACUUGUCAGCUUUGUUCAAAAUGGGGAUUAUGUUUUCUCAAUCCAUAAACCAAAUAAUGUGUCUUGCUACGUAGCUUUCAUUUCUAGAGUGUGCUGUGAUUGAUUUGAACAUGACUCAUAAGUAACAUUUUUGUUUUUAAAACAGAAAAACAUGAUGUGUGGUGUUAAGGUAAGACAUUGACCUUUCCAGGGGCGCCUGGGUGGUUCAUUCAGUUAAGCGUCUGAGUCUUGGUUUGGGCUCAGGUCAUGGUCUCAGGUUUUGUGAGUUGGUUUCAGCCCCACACUGGGUUCCAUGCUGACAGUGCAGAGCCUGCUUGGGAUUCUCUCUCUCUGCUCCUCCCCCGCUCACUCUGUCUCGCUCAAAAUAAACUUAAAAAAAAAAACAAAAAACUUAAAAAUACUUUAAAAAAUUGGCCUUUCCUUGGUUAAUCCUCCAGAGAAUUAACUCAAAAGGAUCAAAAUGUGGGACACUACCCCCUCUCCCUUGACAGAUUUUGUCCUCUGGUGGGAAGACAGCAAAUAAGCCAGGAGGACUUUAUGGUGAACAGUUGAGAUGGCGGCUGCUCACACAGCAAGUGUGGGGACCCACAGGAGCUGGAUGUGCCCCCUGGAGAGCCUCUGCUCACCCAGGGACUAUCCAGCGCCAGCAGGGAAAUGGCCACGUGUGCUCACGCUCCCGAGUGUGAGUCAACCGUGGAAAUUGAGAAAAUAUUUUCCUCAUUAAUGAGGGCAACAUGAGGCACCACCAGUCCUCCAGAUUCUGAAGUUCGGCCAUACAGCAGACGAGCCGAGGGCGCUGCACUCCCCGGAACGCCUCAUGUCCGCGGCGCUUCAGACCGGAGCCUCACGCACAGGGUAAGAACACAAGCCAAUCAGUCAAGUCCAACCAACAGGGCUUGAACCAGCUUAUACAAAAGCACUUUAAUUGACAGUAUACAAUUUUCCAAAAUAUAGUUUUGUAAGAAAACGGCAAUAAUUAAGUAUAGUCUUUACAAACAAGUUUCUCAGUAAAUUCCAGUGUACUUCAGACCCCUGUCCAUGAAGACACAUGCUCCCCCAGUCUCCUGGGCAAACUGUUUGACAUUCACUAAUUUAAAAAAAAAAAAAAAAAAAGACACAUCAAA